rnacentral:tRNA from 1 species
GCUCUAGAUAACUUUUAUAAGUUUAGGUCUUUUAAACCUAAAAAAGUAGCUAUAGUUCUACUUCUAGAG